CAUAUCAAAACUAAUUUGGUUCACAACCACUCUCUCCGCAUUUGCAUAAACUCAUUCACUAGCAAAGAAAAUCAGAGGUUGAAGAAAUUAUGUCGGUGUUCCAGGAGUGAAGCAUCUAUUGCUGUAGGUGUUGGAGUUAGGAAGGUGAGAAGGUGCCCCUUCCCCUUCCUCUUCCAAUAUAAUCACCUUCCUUCAUAAAUGAAGGAAGGGGAAGAGAACUUCUACACCUAUAUAAGGUCGACGAAGCAAUUUAAAGGGAAGAGGAGCACAAGAGAGAAAGGAAGAGGGGACUUACUGUAUGCGAAGUUCGAAAAAGGGUUCAUCCCAUAUCGAAAAGGUCUCCGUACAAGGUUCAUUCGUGUGCACAAGAUUGUAAGUGGGCAAAAAAGAACAUUCAAGAUUGGUUUGUCCAAUCUCGCAAGAAGGAUUUGGUUUGUGAACCAUGAAGAGCUUUCCGAUUUUGUGAUCAUUCUUCCAUCAGCAAGUCUUGCCGGCGCCGAUUGCAGAUCUGCCGGAGAUCACUCAUUUUAGUUUUCAUGAUGUCUGGAAGAAAAAAGAUGAGAAACGAUGGUGGAAAGCAGAAGAAGAAGAAGAAGAAGAAGAAGAAGAUAAUUAAAGAAACGACGGCGGGCAAAAGAAAAAAAAGAAGAUGAUGAAAAAUAUGACAAUGCAAGUAGUUUUCUGCACCAAAUUGAAUGAUUCCCUGGACAUGUGGUAAGCAAUAGUCGACUUCGAGCGGCGGCAAUUAGAAGAAUAGAAGAUCCUAAUUGAUGCUGAUAUGCUUAGUUUAUUUUUUAUUUUGUGAAAUUAAUGUGUGUUUAUUGAAACCCUUUAUUUGUCAUGCAUCAUUAAUUAGACACAAAUUAUGGCUUGUGAACUUUCUCACGUCUCUUGAGAA